rnacentral:ncRNA from 2 species
GCAAAGCUUUAGGGGUGCCCUUACCGGGCUGAGAGAUCACCCUUUGAACCUGAACAGGAUAAUACCUGCGGAGGGAAAAGCGAGAAUACAGGC